rnacentral:rRNA from 1 species
CCUACGGGUGGCAGCAGUGAGGAAUAUUGGUCAAUGGGCGCGAGCCUGAACCAGCCAAGUCGCGUGAGGGAAGACGGUCCUAUGGAUUGUAAACCUCUUUUGUCGGGGAGCAAAAGACGCCACGUGUGGCGUUCCGAGAGUACCCGAAGAAAAAGCAUCGGCUAACUCCGUGCCAGCAGCCGCGGUAAUACGGAGGAUGCGAGCGUUAUCCGGAUUUAUUGGGUUUAAAGGGUGCGCAGGCGGAAGAUUAAGUCAGCGGUAAAAUUGGGGGGCUCAACCUCUUCGGGCCGUUGAAACUGGGUUUCUUGGGUGGGCGAGAAGUAUGCGGAAGGGGGGGUGUGGCGGUGAAAUGCAUAGAUAUCACGCAGAACUCCGAUUGCGAAGGCAGCAUACCGGCGCUCAACUGACGCUCAUGCACGAAAGUGUGGGUAUCGAACAGGAUUAGAUACCCGGUAGUC